UCAAUAAACUAGCUUUUUUAUAUGAAGUAUACAAAUUACAUUUGCUUUUUGUGAAGAAGUGAAUGAGUUGAAUUUGUAUUUCACUACUUACUAGAUUAUACUAAUGAGCUAAAGGGGUCAUUGCCAUCCUCCCUACUCAUGAAUUUUAUGAGUUACUGCUAUACUAUCACUCCUUGAUUUAAUUUGAUAUGGAAUCAGAAUUGGAAGAAGGUAUUUUUAAGUAAACAACUUUUUUUUUCUUCUUUUUUUUUUUUUUUUUUUUUAAAAAAAAGAUGGGAUUUCACCAUGAUGGCCAGGCUGGUCUUGAACUCC